CGGGGAAUUUUCCGCAAUGGGCGAAAGCCUGACGGAGCAAUGCCGCGUGGAGGUGGAAGGCCUACGGGUCGUCAACUUCUUUUCUCGGAGAAGAAACAAUGACGGUAUCUGAGGAAUAAGCAUCGGCUAACUCUGUGCCAC
rnacentral:rRNA from 1 species